rnacentral:rRNA from 2 species
GCGUUAAGUUGCAGGGUAUAGACCCGAAACCCGGUGAUCUAGCCAUGGGCAGGUUGAAGGUUGGGUAACACUAACUGGAGGACCGAACCGACUAAUGUUGAAAAAUUAGCGGAUGACCUGUGGCUGGGGGUGAAAGGCCAAUCAAACCGGGAGAUAGCUGGUUCUCCCCGAAAGCUAUUUAGGUAGCGCCUCGUGAAUUCAUCUCCGGGGGUAGAGCACUGUUUCGGCUAGGGGGCCAUCCCGGCUUACCAACCCGAUGCAAACUGCGAAUACCGGAGAAUGUUAUCACGGGAGACACACGGCGGGUGCUAACGUCCGUCGUGAAGAGGGAAACAACCCAGACCGCCAGCUAAGGUCCCAAAGUCAUGGUUAAGUGGGAAACGAUGUGGGAAGGCCCAGACAGCCAGGAUGUUGGCUUAGAAGCAGCCAUCAUUUAAAGAAAGCGUAAUAGCUCACUGGUCGAGUCGGCCUGCGCGGAAGAUGUAACGGGGCUAAACCAUGCACCGAAGCUGCGGCAGCGAACGUAUCACCCAAGACAACUUUACGGAGUUGACGAUUGACGGAGCGAAGCGACGUCAAAGCGUUCAUUAAAGUCGAGUUGGCUUAGGGAUACGUUCGUUGGGUAGGGGAGCGUUCUGUAAGCCUGUGAAGGUGUGUCGUGAGGCAUGCUGGAGGUAUCAGAAGUGCGAAUGCUGACAUAAGUAACGAUAAAGCGGGUGAAAAGCCCGCUCGCCGGAAGACCAAGGGUUCCUGUCCAACGUUAAUCGGGGCAGGGUGAGUCGACCCCUAAGGCGAGGCCGAAAGGCGUAGUCGAUGGGAAACGGGUUAAUAUUCCCGUACUUGGUGUUACUGCGAAGGGGGGACGGAGAAGGCUAUGUUGGCCGGGCGACGGUUGUCCCGGUUUAAGCGUGUAGGUGUGUGUUCCAGGUAAAUCCGGUUCACUUUAACACUGAGGCGUGACGACGAGGCACUACGGUGCUGAAGCAACAAAUGCCCUGCUUCCAGGAAAAGCCUCUAAGCAUCAGGUAACACGAAAUCGUACCCCAAACCGACACAGGUGGUCAGGUAGAGAAUACCAAGGCGCUUGAGAGAACUCGGGUGAAGGAACUAGGCAAAAUGGUGCCGUAACUUCGGGAGAAGGCACGCUGACACGUAGGUGAAGUGAUUUACUCAUGGAGCUGAAGUCAGUCGAAGAUACCAGCUGGCUGCAACUGUUUAUUAAAAACACAGCACUGUGCAAACACGAAAGUGGACGUAUACGGUGUGACGCCUGCCCGGUGCCGGAAGGUUAAUUGAUGGGGUCAGCGCAAGCGAAGCUCCUGAUCGAAGCCCCGGUAAACGGCGGCCGUAACUAUAACGGUCCUAAGGUAGCGAAAUUCCUUGUCGGGUAAGUUCCGACCUGCACGAAUGGCGUAAUGAUGGCCAGGCUGUCUCCACCCGAGACUCAGUGAAAUUGAACUCGCUGUGAAGAUGCAGUGUACCCGCGGCAAGACGGAAAGACCCCGUGAACCUUUACUAUAGCUUGACACUGAACAUUGAGCCUUGAUGUGUAGGAUAGGUGGGAGGCUUUGAAGUGUGGACGCCAGUCUGCAUGGAGCCGACCUUGAAAUACCACCCUUUAAUGUUUGAUGUUCUAACGUGGACCCGUAAUCCGGGUUGCGGACAGUGUCUGGUGGGUAGUUUGACUGGGGCGGUCUCCUCCUAAAGAGUAACGGAGGAGCACGAAGGUUGGCUAAUCCUGGUCGGACAUCAGGAGGUUAGUGCAAUGGCAUAAGCCAGCUUGACUGCGAGCGUGACGGCGCGAGCAGGUGCGAAAGCAGGUCAUAGUGAUCCGGUGGUUCUGAAUGGAAGGGCCAUCGCUCAACGGAUAAAAGGUACUCCGGGGAUAACAGGCUGAUACCGCCCAAGAGUUCAUAUCGACGGCGGUGUUUGGCACCUCGAUGUCGGCUCAUCACAUCCUGGGGCUGAAGUAGGUCCCAAGGGUAUGGCUGUUCGCCAUUUAAAGUGGUACGCGAGCUGGGUUUAGAACGUCGUGAGACAGUUCGGUCCCUAUCUGCCGUGGGCGCUGGAGAACUGAGGGGGGCUGCUCCUAGUACGAGAGGACCGGAGUGGACGCAUCACUGGUGUUCGGGUUGUCAUGCCAAUGGCACUGCCCGGUAGCUAAAUGCGGAAGAGAUAAGUGCUGAAAGCAUCUAAGCACGAAACUUGCCCCGAGAUGAGUUCU